AAAAAACGUAUGCCAUUCCCACAAGUCAUAUAUAUAUAUAUAUAUAUAUAUAUAUAUAUAUAUAUGACUUGUGGGAAUGGCAUACGUUUUUU